rnacentral:rRNA from 1 species
CGGAACGGGUGAGUAAUGCGUGACCAACCUGCCCCAUGCUCCAGAAUAGCUCUUGGAAACGGGUGGUAAUGCUGGAUGCUCCAACUUGACGCAUGUCUUGUUGGGAAAGUGUUUAGUGGCAUGGGAUGGGGUCGCGUCCUAUCAGCUUGUAGGCGGGGUAAUGGCCCACCUAGGCUUCGACGGGUAGCCGGCCUGAGAGGGCGGACGGCACAUUGGGACUGAGAUACGGCCCAGACUCCUACGGGAGGCAGCAGGA